CGUCGUCGUCGGUCACCACAUGGUUCUCUAGGACCACUGAAAACCAACAGCGGGGACAGAAGACACACUUGAACGUGAACGGCCGGACGGGGCCGCGUCGAUACUAAGCUAGUGUUUACUCCUCAAAACCGUCUCAGCCCCGGCGCGCGGGGAGACCGCCUCAGCUCUCCCUGCACCAGCCACCCGCCCUGUCCGCACCUCCCAACUCCCCCUCCCAGCUCCUCCGCACUCUGGGCCGGCCCGGGUGUGCUCCCCACCGCCUUCCUAUCGUCCAGCAUCCGCCGCAAAACAACAGUAAAGGUAACACAAAAUCCCA